GACGAACGCUGGCGGCGUGCUUAACACAUGCAAGUCGAACGGAAAGGCCCUGCUUUUGUGGGGUGCUCGAGUGGCGAACGGGUGAGUAACACGUGAGUAACCUGCCCUUGACUUUGGGAUAACUUCAGGAAACUGGGGCUAAUACCGGAUAGGAGCUCCUGCUGCAUGGUGGGGGUUGGAAAGUUUCGGCGGUUGGGGAUGGACUCGCGGCUUAUCAGCUUGUUGGUGGGGUAGUGGCUUACCAAGGCUUUGACGGGUAGCCGGCCUGAGAGGGUGACCGGCCACAUUGGGACUGAGAUACGGCCCAGACACCUACGGGGGGCAGCAGUGGGGAAUAUUGCACAAUGGGCGGAAGCCUGAUGCAGCAACGCCGCGUGCGGGAUGACGGCCUUCGGGUUGUAAACCGCUUUCGCCUGUGACGAAGCGUGAGUGACGGUAAUGGGUAAAGAAGCACCGGCUAACUACGU
rnacentral:rRNA from 1 species